UAUAAACAGACUUCUAAUUAGCCAUCUACACAUGAUAUAACUUAAAUACUUUAAAGCCCGUUUUGGCUCUAUACACCUACUACUGACCACUACGAUAGCCUGGCAGUGCAGAAAUUGUCUCUGAUUUACACUUCCGAGAAAACAUAGAAGACCUCAAUCUACCUCCUCAAAUCUUUGUGGCCGGUGAAGAACCCUACGAGUCAUGUUAGUAUCAUAAUCUGAGAAUCAUCUUUCAACCCCACAAGUUUUCUUUUCCUUUCUUUCUCUACCCUUUUAGUUUCUUUUGUUUUUAAAACCUGUAGAUCUUUUAGUUUUGAGCCAUGUUUGGUGGUGUAGGUGAAGCUGUUCAGAUCUAGAAUCAUAACAGUUGAUAAAGUCUAUUAUUACAAUUGAGAUGCUGUUAAGUCACACAAGCUCAUGAAUAUUCUUCUAUAACUGGUAUUAGCAAAACAUAGAAGUUUCAAGUCUGUUCUUUCGAUUAUUCGGUAAGCAACCAAUAUUUUUUCUCAGAUAAUUUUAUUUGUAUAUUCGCAUCUGGUUUUAAACAAUUUUGUUUUGAUCUU